rnacentral:lncRNA from 8 species
AACACGAGUAGCGUAUAGACAUGAAACACAUAGUCAACACUCUAAUUGUAUUUAACCUUUAUUUAACUAGGCAAGUCAGUUAAGAACUGCCUGGGGUAUGGAACUAAAGGAGUGACAGACAUAGGGGAGGUAAUCAGUGAAGUGAUGGAGUCCAUGAGUGCCUAAUGAUGAAUGCCAGGUGUGCGUAAUGAAAAAGGCGGUGGUUACUAAACCGGCGACGUCGAAAGCCGGAGGUGAGGAGCGGGAGUAGACAUGACAAAAGGAAGGUAUUUAUUUAGACCAUACUCAGGCAUCUUUAUGUUGCAGUGAUGAACCGUUUUUUUUCUCUUCUCAUGCCACUAACACCACCUCACACACACAGCAACCUACUUACAGCGGGACCCCUUCUCAGCAAAGCCAGAAUGUGAAGCCUCAUGCAAACACGUCAGACCAACAGCAAAACUGUGAUUAUGAUGCCCUGAACUAUACUGCCCUGAAGUUCAGUGAGAAGAAGAGUGCCAAGCCCAGGAGACAGAGGAGAGAACAGAGAGAGGAAGAAACCAUCUACUCUGGUAUGAGUCAUCAAGACAUGAUGUGACAUAUGAGGGUCAUUCAGUCAGCAUCAUUCUAAGUUAAGCCCCACCCCUCCUCUGAAUUCCACUUUGAUCCUGACUGAGCCAGCGUGAACUGACUAUUAUAUACAUUUCUCAUUUAUUGUAGGAUGCUAUUGCAGGGGCCUAGUUUUGCCAUAUAUCAACGUAAAAUCAUUCAGAUGCUGAGCAUAAUUGUCCAGUAAGUGUGAAAGCUGAUACUAGGAUGAUUUCAGAAGUCUCAAAUCCUUAGCAAUAGUGGCUGAGGUUGACUGACUCCAUACAUUUGUUUUUGUGGAAGAGUACAACAAAAUGUAUAUAAUGAUUUUGCAAAUGUCUGAAUUCUUCCUUUUGAUGAUAAUAGUUGUAACAUAGUACUCUGUAACCUGCCCUUAUGCUUGUGUGAUAUUUCAAUAAACAUGUUUUUAUUUCCUAGUUUAAUGACUUGCCCAAUUCUUACCAAUUAUUUGCACCAGUUAUCAAAGGAUCACAUCUUUAUUUUGUCAAAAAGGUGCCAACCUCACCAGAGUUCACU